GCUGGAAGCUGUGAAAGGAAAUCACGUAGGAGUCGGGAACUCAGUAAAGAGAUGUUUGAGAUCGUUGAAUCAGCAUUUGAAGCAGUUGGAAACGGAUCUUUAAAAGAAGAAGAUUAUUACUUUGAACUCACUACUCCUUAUUUUCAGUACGAAUCAGGCUGCUAUCCACAGCAGCAGAAUGAUGAAACUACAU